GGUUCAAGCAAUUCUCCUGCCUCAGCUUCCCGAGUAGCCGGGACUACAGGCGCACACCACCAUGCCCAGCUAAUUUUUGUAUUUUUAGUAGAGAUGGGGUUUCAUCUCAUUGACCAGGAUGGUCUCGAUCUCUUGACCUCAUGAUCCACCCACCUCGGCCUCCCAAAGUGCUGGGAUUAUAGGCAUGAGCCACCACGCCCGGCCCAAUUUUUGUAUUUUUUUAGUAGAGACAGGGUUUUACCAUGUUGGCCAGGCUGGUCUCGAACUCUUGACCUCAAUUGAUAUUGUUGUUUUUUAACAGAGACAGGGGUCUCACUAUGUUGCCCAAGCCAGUCUCAAACUCCUGGGCUCAAGCAAUCCUCAGGCCGUGGCCUCCCAAAGUGUUAGGAUUACAGAUGUGAGCCACCAUACCCAGCUUCAAGCCCUUUCUUUUAACUGGAGCCAUUUUCUUUCUUUAAUGUGUCAACUUUAUUUAUUAUUGUUGUUAUUAUUUUUGAGACGGAGUCUCACUUUGUCACCCAGGCUGGAGUGCAAUGACACAAUAUCGGCUCACUGCAACCUCUGCCUCCUGAGUUCAAGGACUUCUCCUGCCUCAGCCUCCUGAGUAGCUGGGAUUAUAGGCAUGCACCACCAUGCCCAGCUAAUUUUUGCAUUUUUAGUAGAGAUGGGGUUUCACCAUAUUGGUCAGGCUCGAACUCCUGACUUCAGGUGAUUCCCUGCCUCGGCCCCCCAAAGUUCUGGGAUUACAGGCAUGAGCCACCGUACCCAGCUGUCAAUCUUAUUUAUUAUACUUCAUCCUAACCUGAAGUUGAGAAACGAUGGCCUCACCCACUCACCACUCAGUACUCAGUUCUGUUUGUGGAAAUGUUCUAGGCUGACAGGGGCCAGGACCCUACAGGGAAGCUGGCUAUCAGGAGACAAGCCCUGCCUCUGUCCCCAGCCAGGAAAGCAAAGUGAGCCCAGGGCCCUGUGUGGAGGAAUGUGACCGAUCACCUCCUGGUAGCUCCAUGGCAGGGCCAGGGAGCCACCCUUGCUCUCAGACUCUGUGUCCCACGGCCAGGAUCCGGAGCUUUCCUCCCCAGCCUAUGUACUGUAAUAACUAAGUCAACUGGAAAAAAAAUACUGAAGAAAAGAGUGAGGAAAAACAGGGCAUGGGGGCAGCUGGGGCCAGGAAGGAGCUCACAGCGAGGUAUAAAGGACCAUUGUGCCGGGGGCAGGACUUGGCACUCCGGGCCUCGGAGGAGCCGGCAAUGAUCCGCUUUCUCUGGAGGGAGAUCCUUGGAUCCCAGCUGAAUAAAGAACAACUUGGAACUUGGCGAGGGAGACUGGGGGGCACACGGCAGGGGGAGGGGCAGGCAGAGACAAGGAGAAAGUGGUGUUGAAAACAGGGGCUGCAGCAGGAUCGGAGAGAAUCAAAGGCGAAGACCAAGCUCUCCUAUCUUUUUUUUUUUUUUUUGAUAAUGGAGUUUUGCUCUUGUUGCCCAGGCUGGAGUACAAUGGCGGGAUCUCGGCUCACUGCAACCUCCGCCUGUCAGGUUCAAGUGAUUCUCCUACCUCAGCUUCUCUCUCUCUCUUUUUUUUUUUUUUUUUUGGUGCCGUGACUCUGAUACAAACCGAGGUUGCUGUGGCCACAACGCAGAAUACUCCUCAGCUUCUCAAGUGGCUGGAAUUGCAGGCAUGCGCCACCACACCCGGCUAAUUUUGUAUUUUUAGUAGAGACGGGGUUUCUCCAUGUUGAUCACGCUGGUCUCCAACUCCCGACCUCAGGUGAUCCGCCCUCCUUGGCCUCCCAAAGUGCUGGGAUUACAGGCUGGAGUGCAACAGUGUGAUCUUGGCUCACUGCAACUUCUGCCUCCCAGGUUCAAGCAAUUCUCCUGCCUCAGCCUCCUGAGUAGCUGGGAUUACAGGGCAAUGGAGCGUGCAUGCAUCAUGGACUCGGAGUGUGGUCCCACCUCCCUGCCUCCUCCGGCAGAUACCUGAUGCCCAUUUCCCCGUCCCCUGCACCCUGGGCCCCAUGGCCCCCUCCCCACUCCCACUGGGUCACCCUUCACUCUGGGCAGGGACUGAGUGUGGGUGCAGGAGGAUCAGGGUAAGGCACAUGCCCCCUGGUUUCUCAGGCACACAGCGUGUUCCAGAACACCUCUAGAGUGUGCAAUGCCUCGAGGGAUGACCUCUCUGCCGCAGAUGUAUGAUGUUUUGGCUGAACUACAUGAAGAGAAUCUGGCCUCACACGAUUACGAAGCUGGAAAAUGAAGGGCCCCAUAGACCCACUGGAAGGGUCUCCAGGAUCCCAGGGCUCCUCAGACCACACGCUGAGAACUGCUGCACUGGAGCAAUGCACAUCGUGAUAAAGAUAGGACUGUGGUGGGAAUAAAAAGGCUUCUUCUGAGGUCUUUGUAUUAAUGUGAAAAA